CGGAAGUACAGUGUCAGUGGGUUGAAGUCCUUCGACUGCUUCCACUGUCUGGUCAUCAGGGGAGCGCCAUCCCUUCUCUACCACAUGACCCCGGGGCCUCAGCCCCCCCAGCCCUCUUCUCAUCUCCGUACUUCUGAGAGUUGAGCUGUUCAAUGACCUGGAAGAACUUGGCAUCCCCGGUGUCCAAUUCCUCAUCUAGUCCCCGGGGGGUACGGCUCCUGCACAGUGAGAGUCCAGCCUGUCACCACGGAGACCCUCAAAAGCAUCUGGGCAAAGCAGGAGCAGCCCCCUAGGAAGGUUGGAGGGCUGCACCAAUUCCAAAGGCAGCAACUUGCCCAUCACCACCCGGGGGUGCCAAAAAAUCCUUGUGAGUGUAAACUGAAGUGACAAUGCAGAACAUUGCGACUCCUCUCUGACCUUCUGUGAUGGUCAGGCUGAGUUGGGAAGCAUUUGGGGUGGAAAACAAAAAAAUGGAGAAGAAAGAGAAGAAGAGACACAAACCUGGCUAUAGUCAUUUUCUUCUGCAUGAAAAGGAGUGCACGGUGUGUGCAGAGAUAUGAAAAUGACAGGAAGUAAAGCGGGUGAGGACAGCGCCAAGGAGGAGGGUGAAGCCCCGUAGCCACCACCCAGGGCAAGAAGUAUGGCGACCGUUCUUCCCCGCUCAUCUUGGCUCAUGUGAGGAAGCAAGGUCACAAGGGGCCACAUCAUCGCCCCCAACCAAAGCCUUGUGUAUGUGAGAGGAGAGACAGAGACAGAGACUGAGCGGUACGUUCCAGGUAAGAGCCCAUCUAUGUAUGUAUGCCUGGACCUAACUUUCCAAACUACCUACCUGUACCUUCCCACAUGCCUGUAAGUUAUUUGAAGGCAGGGAAAACAUCUUAUUCAUUUCUGUCUUCUCAAGAACUAGCCUAGUGCCCGCCACAUAGGGUUACUCAAAAAUGGUGGAAGGAAUGAAUGGAUGAGUGGUAUAUACCACCACUAACCCUGCCCCAUCACCCCAAAGUUCCUGCUGUUUGAGGGUAAGCCAGUUGUGAUUCUCAGGAUUUCCAGCAUUUGACCGAGAACCUGGGACUUCAGAGGCUGAGAAGUGAAUUUCGGGGCUGGUGAGGUCCUGCCUCAGGAGAUACCCUAGAACAAAGGGCUCCUACUCCUCCACCCUGACACUUCUUAGCCUGCACACCGGUGGUGGGGGUGGAGGUUUGGCAUGGGUUCUGGGGGGCAUUCCCACCAUGGGGAUUGCACCCAACGUUGUCCACAGUCCCUGGGCUCCCAGCGAACUGCACCUUCUCCUCCACCCCACCCUGAAGGCCUCAUGCUACAACAGUCAGCUGGGUCUUGAAUUCUUCCUUCCUCUCCCUCCAGCUGGCUUAACUCUUCUGACCUCUCCCCUCCUCCAUGUUGACACUUAAAAUUAAGUACUCCUCUGAACCACUGAUGCCAGUGUCCCCCCGUUCCCAAGGUUCACUGACCUCUGGCCUGCUUCCCCGCUGGAUGGAAGAGGAAGGGGGAGGGAACACAGAAAAGAUACUCUGGAGUCAUUCCAUAAAUCCACUCAGAUCUACCCAGUACAGAAGGUUCUGGGGCGAUCUGCAGAAAGGUGGCCGGAAAUGCCAAACAGGUUUGGGAAGAUCAGGUAAAAGAGAGAAGAGGCUGAGGAACCAGUCCCGGGGCUAGCCUUUAGAGCCACGGCCUGCUCCUUGCAUGAGGGGGUUCUGGCCGCUCAUCAUCAAGUACUAACUCCAAAAACCAGCCAGUGAGGAAGAUUCAGGCUCCUCCAUCAGUCAUCUUUGCCCUUUCUCUGGAAAGAAGGGCAAAGAAGGGCUGAACCAGUGACCAGGGCAACUUGACAGUUCAGGACCUGGGGAUGUCACCAAGUGACUCCCUGGUGGUGGGGGCUGGGUGGCUGGGAGUGGGCAAUGGGAGUGGGUUUAUGUAAGUUCUGGGGCUCGUGAUGGAG